rnacentral:rRNA from 1 species
AAGGAAUAUUGGUCAAUGGACGCAAGCCUGAUCCAGCCAUGCCGCGUGCAGGAUGAAGGCCUUCGGGUUGUAAACUGCUUUUGUACGGAACGAAAAGGUGCCUUCUAAUAAAGGGCGCUCAUGACGGUACCGUAAGAAUAAGCACCGGCUAACUACGUGCCAGCAGCCGCGGUAAUACGUAGGGUGCGAGCGUUAAUCGGAAUUACUGGGCGUAAAGCGUGCGCAGGCGGUUUUGUAAGACAGAUGUGAAAUCCCCGGGCUUAACCUGGGAACUGCGUUUGUGACUGCAAGGCUGGAGUACGGCAAAGGGGGGUGGAAUUCCACGUGUAGCAGUGAAAUGCGUAGAGAUGUGGAGGAACACCGAUGGCGAAGGCAGCCCCCUGGGCCUGUACUGACGCUCAUGCACGAAAGCGUGGGGAGCAAACA